UUUUUUUUAUUUUUUGAGAUGGAGUCUCACUCUCACCCAGGCUGGAGGGCAGUGGAGCCAUCUCAGCUCACUGCAACCUCUAUCUCCCGGGUUCAAGGGAUUCUCCUGCCUGAGCCUCCCGAGUAGCUGAAGUUACAGACGCGCACUACCAUGCCUGGCUAAUUUUUGUAUUGUUAGUAGGGACGGUUUCAUCCAUGUUGGCCAGGCUAGUCUCAAACUCCUGACCUCAAGUGAUCCACGCACCUCGGCCUCCCAAAAUGCUGGGAUUAUAGGCUUGAGCCACCGCGCCAGGCCCUGGCCUGAUCUUUAAACACAGUGUUGUCUUGAGGAUGGCAGGAAUCAAAGUCCCCAGGUUAGCCUUUCUUCCGCUUUGUUCUAUUGGGUCAAACUUUAAAAAGAGAGAUACCCCUUCUGGCCAUUUGGGGCAGGGGUGUGGGGACAGAGAGGUGUGGAGGAGAGAAUAUAUUGAAAGACAAGGCCUCCGAGACAGCUGAAGCCCAGUGACUGGCUACCGGGCUCUGUCUUGCUGCCGACCGGCCAGCAGAAGGCUGGGGGAGAGCGGCGUAAACAGAGGCAUCUGGUCCCCCAGCAUGGAGCAGCGGGUCCGUGAACCGUGGCAGAUGCAGCCUCAGCUGUGAUUGGGCACGAGGCCUCGGUGUCCAAGCCUGGGUCACGCGCGGGGCCCAUUUUAACUGUGACAGUGCAGUGUCAAACUGCCAUUCUUUCUUUCUCAUGCGUUUUUUUUGCCUCUGAAAUCUGCCAGCUCGCGGAAGCAGCCUAGACGUCGGCCCCUCGGGUUCCCAGGCUGGAGGAGGCAUGCGGGGGAACAAGCAAAGGAAGAGGCUGAUCUCUGCACUUUCCAAAAGCUGCUGUUCUGGGACCUGGCAGAAAAUUGGAGUUCAUGGAUUCCAAGCAGGCAUAAUGGCUCUCUGCAAGACCAAGGAAUGGGCAGAAUAAGUCCUGUGUGAGUGCAGACGCCACAACCUUGUGCAGUUGCCAUUCGUGCCUCCAGCAUGUGGUUCCAUUGCUUCAUGGCCAGGAGGACCCCUCUGCCCAAGGACACCCAAGAAGCACAUAGUGAAGCACGCACGGAGCUCUGAUAUCUGCUUUUGUGAUUUUGAAGUCUCCUGGUUGUACGACUUUGGCGUUCUCUAAGGAGUUACCCACAUUACUUCGAAGCUUCUGGGAUGCAGUGCCCUUAUGGAAUCCCAGUGCUGGAAGCCUGUUUCCUGGACCCCGUUACCUUGGGCUGGUGCUGAAGGUGCAGAGCCUGCUGUCAGGGGUACCUGUCCUCUGUCCCAGGCCACCACUGCAGAGGGGCCUCUUGGAGAAUCACUUGUGUCCAUGAAAAACACUCAGCAAAAAGAUGCCGAUGAUGUUGACACAUGUUCCAGCAGGGUCAGAAUGUCCAGCGUCCACAUGAAAACACCGCAAGACAGCCACGGAGGAGAAAGGCUCUGGAGCUGUGCCCUCAGAAGCCGUUUUCCCUUCGCGCUCUGCUGCCCUUGUCUGUCAGCCAUCUGCGCCCUCACUUUCCGAAACCGUAAUGACAAACCUGUAACCAUCAAGGGAUCUCUCACAGGGGUGGCCUUGCCUCUGCCACUCCCUGUCACCAAUCUGGGCCUCUCUUGGGGCUAGGGGAUGAGAAAGUUCAGGUGACUCAACAGCAGCCUGGUCAGCCGGUAAGGGAUUGGCCCUAAGCCUAUCUGUCCUGGAUGCCACCGGCAGGGCAGACCACAGGCUGAGCAGAGAGGCUGGAAGAGACCAGAGCACUGAGAUUUUCCAGGGGACAGAAGAACAUGCUCAGCUCUAGGUGGGGGCCUCCUGUUGAGAUUCCCAUUCCCUGUCUCACCAGGACAGACCAAGGAAGCAGCCUGUGCUUCCCCAAAGCAGGCACUAGUCCCUGGCAUUGCCACCUCCAGCCACCUGUGUAGCUUUGAUUGUGGCUGCCGACCCUCCUGGGCCUUAUGCAGUAGAAAGAAGAGAGAAUGGAUAAUUUGCAAGUGCCCUUGCCUGACAGCAUUCGUGAUACUCAGAUACAAUUUUGGACCUGCAGUCUUUGUCCCAGGUAGUGGCCUACCUGUGUGCUCUGUCCUGUUGGUCACCAUGAAGCCUGAGCGUGGAUGUGAAACACAUUCUUUGUGCUUUCAGUCGAGGCAUUUCCCCUGCCCCUCUCCCCUCAGCAAGUGAUGUGCAGCCUGUAGUGUCUAAAGACUUGGAAUAUUCAGCUGCUUGUCCUGAGCUCAGAGCUUGCCUGGCUUGUCAACAGUGGCAGGAGGGAAGGCGGAAGGUUUGCGGAGAGCUCCUAAUCCCGUGUGAGCAGAAAGAAUGUGGCUUGAUUUCUUUCCAGGCAUUCCAGCUUUUUUGCUGGGCUUAGUUAAAAAUGACAGAAUGGGAACUGCUUUAAGAGUGAUUUUCUGAUGUCCCCAUAAAUAACGAGACUAGUUUGUGUGUUGGUUUUGAGGACUAUCUUGCUACUCUAGUUUGGCACCUUAACUGGAUCUUACUUGGAAACUAUAUCUAAUGCCUUUUCCCACAACUAAGCUCUGCCGGAUAAAAGUGAAUUCACAUUUUUGAAAAACAUGGCAUUUUUCACCCAUUGCUUGGUGAGCCUACUUCAGUGAAUGUGGUAAUCUUCUUACUGAAUAUUGUGUGUGCAGAAGAGGGGUGGGGCAGUGAGGAGGCAGGAAAUACCUACUGAGGGAAAUAUACUUUCCCAGUUAAUGCGCUAUAUGCCCAGGGAGCAAAACCAUCAAUUGAAAGACUCUUCCCAACCAUUACCUUGCACUUGGCAAGUUCAUCAGGUACCCUUCCAUAGCAGAAGGAAAAACCCCCCGACACAUUUUUUUCUGGCUGGGUUCCUCAGUGCCACAGGAGGCCCCGGGGUGGGGGGGGGUCUAGCUAGCAGGCUGAGGCUCUCUUGUACCCAGCCUCACCUGCACACCUGGGCAUUCAGCAAAGACCAGACACCUUAAAGCAGAGGACAGCAUGGAAGCUCUGUUGUUCAUCAUCUGAACUUUAGUAAACGGAAAUAUUGUCCAUGAUUGGAGAGGAGCCUCUUCCUUGAAGGAGCCACCUGCCCUCUAAGCUGUAUAUUUCACAAGGUUACAUUUUUAUGCCUGGUUUCAUCAGUUUCCCUUAGAGAACACCUGUAAAUAGACCAUCACUGAGGGCUAGGCAAAUUCCAUCGUGUAUUUAAUCUGCUCUCUGCUUACCAAUUGCUCACCUGGACUCCAAUACAUAUAACAACAUAAUUUCUCAGGACCUUGUGUAUGUUCCCAUUAGGUUCUGUUUAAUCUAAUUGCUGGGACCUCACUUCAGUGGUUGGCUGGAUGCAGGGAACUUUUUUUGGCAGUGAGCCAAGGGUUCCUUCUCAUUUUGCUUCUGAGGUCUUAAGAGUGUCUUUCUCCAGGAACCUUACCAAGACCCUCCCAGCUGUCCCACCCCCUUCAAAGACCGGCUUACACUUGUUUCCUUCUGCACAAAGCCCAUGCCAGCUAAAAUCAAGUCAGGUGGGCAGUUUAGCGAGCUCCUUUGCUUGUGUGACAUAGCCCUGAAGAUUUCCAAAAGCAGCUCCAUGCUCCAGAACACACGUCUAAGCUUCAACCCUGUGCCUGCAGAAUGCACUGCCCUGCUACAGACAGAGGUUGAACGGUCUGACUUUGCAUUGUGGACACUGUAUGUAAUUACCUUUUAUCCGUUUCCUCCUGCAGGACUCUUCAGUGCCUGCUGGUACUAUUUUUUAGGAUAUAAACUCCUUAUAUGGAGCAAGUCUGCAAAUCUUGCUUGGCACAAUGGCCAAAAACAUGCUACAUGCAGGCAGAUAAGUAUUUUGAUGGCACCUGGAACAGCUUAAAUUUAUUUAUAGCCUUUGGCCCUUCUGAAAAGCAUGAUAGGCUGUAAUUUUCUCAGUUAAAUAAAAAAAAUCACACACG